rnacentral:snRNA from 1 species
AAUGCUUCUCAGCCUUUCGGCUAAAACCAAGUGUAGUAUCUGUUCUUAUCAGUUUAAUAUCUGAUACGUCCUCUAGCCAAUGGAGUACUACUUAGCUAUAAAGAAUUAUCACAUUGACAUAUUUAUAAGUAAAUGGAAGCAACUCAAAACUAUACUCAUA